GACGAACGCUGGCGGCGUGCUUAACACAUGCAAGUCGAACGCUGAAGCUCAGCUUUUGUUGGGUGGAUGAGUGGCGAACGGGUGAGUAACACGUGAGUAACCUGCCCCCUUCUUUGGGAUAACGCCCGGAAACGGGUGCUAAUACUGGAUAUUCACUGGUCUUCGCAUGGGGGGUGGUGGAAAGGGUUUUUCUGGUGGGGGAUGGGCUCGCGGCCUAUCAGCUUGUUGGUGGGGUGAUGGCCUACCAAGGCUUUGACGGGUAGCCGGCCGGAGAGGGUGACUGGUCACGUGGGCACUGAGAUCCGGCCCAGACUACGACGGGAGGCAGUAGGGGGGAAUAUUGCGCGAUGUGCGCAAGCCUGAGGCGGCGCCGCCGCGUGAGGGGUGGCGGCCGUCGGGUUGUGAACCUCUUUCGCUCAUGGUCAAGCCGCAACAAUGGUUGUGGUGAGGGUAGUGGGUAAAGAAGCGCCGGCUAACUACGUG
rnacentral:rRNA from 1 species